rnacentral:sRNA from 1 species
UUGUUGAGGGCUGAUAUAGUGUACAUGCGUAUCAAUAGCACCUGCUGUAGCUAUCAGUCCUUCGCCCGAGAUAACCUCUGUGAUGGUUCCAAUGAUCAAACCCGGAGUCACUCCAGGUUGUAUAUGCGGAUUACCUGCCUUGCCAAUUCCUUUAAUCUUGCCUUCCUUAAUACCGAUAUCGGCUUUAUAGAUGCCUUUAUAAUCGAUGAUCAAUGCAUUAGUAAUGACGAGAUCCAGCACCUCUUCAUCCUUGAAGCCAGUCGCUUGUCCCAUGCCAUCGCG